rnacentral:rRNA from 1 species
UACGUAGGGGGCAAGCGUUAUCCGGAUUUACUGGGUGUAAAGGGCGUGUAGGCGGGAGAGCAAGUCAGACGUGAAAUUCCAGGGCUCAACCCUGGAACUGCGUUUGAAACUGUUCUUCUUGAGUGAUGGAGAGGCAGGCGGAAUUCCGUGUGUAGCGGUGAAAUGCGUAGAUAUACGGAGGAACACCAGUGGCGAAGGCGGCCUGCUGGACAUUAACUGACGCUGAGGCGCGAAAGCGUGGGGAGCAAACAGG